rnacentral:sRNA from 1 species
UGGGCGAGCAAAGUCUCAGCCAAUGCGUG